GAUGAACGCUGGCGGCGUGCCUAAUACAUGCAAGUCGAGCGAACGGACGAGAAGCUUUCUCCUCUGAUGUUAGCGGCGGACGGGUGAGUAACACGUGGAUAACCUACCUAUAAGACUGGGAUAAUUUCGGGAAACAGGAGCUAAUACCGGAUAAUAUUUUGAACCGCAUGGUUCAAAAGUGAAUGACGGUCUUGCUGUCACUUAUAGAUGGAUCCGCGUUGCAUUAGCUAGUUGGUAAGGUAACGGCUUACCAAGGCAACGAUGCAUAGCCGACCUGAGAGGGUGAUCGGCCACACUGGAACUGAGACACGGUCCAGACUCCUACGGGAGGCAGCAGUAGGGAAUCUUCCGCAAUGGGCGAAAGCCUGACGCAGCAACGCCGCGUGAGUGAUGAAGGUCUUCGGAUCGUAAAACUCUGUUAUUAGGGAAGAACAUAUGUGUAAGUAACUGUGCACAUCUUGACGGUACCUAAUCAGAAAGCCACGGCUAACUACGUG
rnacentral:rRNA from 1 species